CUAUAACCUGUAAAACGUCAUCAAGGAGAAGUGGAGGAAGGGCUCAUCAAUAUGGAUAAUGAAGGGAGAUUUUUCCAUCUAACAUCCUGGAGAACAAAGAAACCUGGAGCUGCUGAAGACUGCAAUUGCAAAGGCCAGCUACACUAACCAGGUUUUCAUCGGCAUGGAUGUAGCUGCCUCUGAGUUCUACAGGUUUGGCAAGUAUGACCUGGACUUCAAGUCUCCAGAUGACUCCAGCAGGCUGACCUGCACAAGUCCUUCAUCUAGAAGUAUGCAGUGGUGGGGACUGAAGACUCCUUUGACCAGGAUGACUGGGAAGCUUGGCAGAAGUUCUCAGCUAGUGCAGGCAUCCUGGUGGUAGAGGAUGAUCUCACAGUAACCAAUCCUAAAUGGAUUGCAAAGGAUGUGGGAAAGAAGUUCUGUAACUGCCUCCUGCUCGAAGUAAACUAAAUCAGCUCUGUGACUGAGUGUAUGCAGGCAUGUAAGCUUGCCCAGCCCAAUGGCUGGGGUGUCAUGGUGUCCCAUUGAUCUAGGGAGACUGAGGAUACUUUCAUCACUGACCUGGUUGAGGGGGAUGGGACUCUGCACUGGGCAGAUAAAGACUGAUGCCAAUUGCCUGAUCAAAUACAAUCAGAUCUGUAGAAUUGAAGAAGAGCUAGCAGCAAAGCCAGGUUUGCUUGCAGGUCCUUCAGGAACCCCCUGGCCAAGUAAAAUACGGACUGGAGAUUCCUCAAGCCAUCAGCUGCUGAGGUCUUCUCUGUCUCUGAUGUCACCAAGGAUGCUCAAGAACAGCCCAGUGCUUGCCCCUCCUACGUCACUGCUUCCUUAGGUGUCCAAAGUCAUACCUGAUCACCUGAAGCCCUGCUUGAGACCCCAGUUUUGUAAUCAUAUGAUUGGUCUGAAUCAUUGUCACCUGACUUCCCAGUUAGUGUCUGGAGCCCUCAGAACUCCAGUAUAAUACCUAGGGUGGCCACCCUCAAGACCCCUCCCCCAGUGGUUUACAUACAAAAUAAAAGCAGUAGAACCCCCAGCCCC